AACAAUACACUGCCGCGUCCAAUAUCUGAACAUCAUUAUACCACUCGAAAGAGAAGGAGAAAGAGACACACCCACACGCUGACACGAGAGAGAAAGGCUAUGACAUACAUACUAGUUCUAUGUUCUAUCUCCUUCUCCUGUGGAUGGUAAAGCCUCAUCUCCAUUGGGAAAAUAAGGGCACAGGUAGUGGGAUGGCCACCAAUUUGAUCUUUUGGAAAGAACACGAUGGCCUCUAAUUUACAAAGAAUGAUGAUGAAGCAGAAUUUAAAUCAGGGUGUCUAUAUGUAAAGGUCAAUGCCAUUCUCUUGGACUUCCUAGGAAAGAUGGACUAAGUGAGAGCUCUUUAAGGGAUGUUCUCCAUGGAUCUGAAUAUGUUCUUAAAUAUGAAGAUAAAGAUGGAGACGGGAAGCAUGCGGGUGAUGUUCCUUAGGAGCAAGUUAUUCCUCCUCUUGUCAUGAUUAUAAUUUAUACUACCUCUGUCCUUCUAUAUUACACUCUUUUUAAGAAUUUGGCUUGUCGUUUUUUAUAAGAUUUUUUAAAAGUUGCAUUAAUUAUUUUUUAUUAAAAUAUUUUUAAUUAUUUUAUAAUUUUUUAAGUCAAUAAACAAUAAAUGUUAUAUACUAAUAAAAUAAAGUCAUUUUCUCUUUUGUCAGGAUUUGAGAAGAUGACUAACAUGCGUUAAUUAAUUAGGUGAAAAGUAAUUAAUGGGAUAAUGUGAGAUGAUGAGUUUCAAUUAUCUUAUAAAUUUUAACAAAUUUAAUGCUAUGUAUAAUGUCAUUUUUCAACUAUGAUAGUUCAUUGGAUGAACCCAUUAACUCAACAUUUGUUA